rnacentral:rRNA from 1 species
AACGAACGCUGGCGGCAUGCCUAACACAUGCAAGUCGAACGAGAUCCUUCGGGGUCUAGUGGCGCACGGGUGCGUAACGCGUGGGAAUCUGCCCUUAGGUUCGGAAUAACAGUUAGAAAUGACUGCUAAUACCGGAUGAUGACGUUAAGUCCAAAGAUUGAUCGCCUGAGGAUGAGCCCGCGUAGGAUUAGCUAGUUGGUGUGGUAAAGGCGCACCAAGCCGACGAUCCUUAGCUGGUCUGAGAGGAUGAUCAGCCACACUGGGACUGAGACACGGCCCAGAGUCCUACGGGAGGCAGCAGUGGGGAAUAUUAGACAAUGGGCGCGAGCCUGAGCCAGCAAUGCCGCGUGAGUGAUGAAGGCCUUAUGGUUGUAAAGCUCUUUUACCCGAGAUGAUAAUGACAGUAUCGGGAGAAUAAGCCCCGGCUAACUCCGUG